CAGCUUAAAAUGGGAGGUAAAUUUCUCCUAAGCUAAAUAUUGGCGAGAGACCGAUAGCGAACAAGUACCGUGAGGGAAAAGAAUGAAAAACACUUUGAAAAGAGAGUUAAAUAGUACGUGAAAUUGUUGAAAGGGAAACGAUUGAAGCCGUCGUACCGACGAAGAAUCAACUUUUGGAGUGCGAAUCGAGGUAUUCGAGGAGUUUAAAGCCCUUGUGUGUUUCGUAUUCGUGCUUCUUGGGUGCUUUUCUUCGUAUGGUAGGUUAACUCAAUUUUGGACGUUACAAAAUGAUCGGGGGAAUGUAGCUUCGAUUUUUCGAAGUGUUAAGCCCUUGGUAGAUGUGACGACCGGGAUUGAGGAUUGCAACGAAUGCUUUCGGGCUAUCGUCUGACCUCUGGUGGUUGCUUUGGGGUCGAAAGCGUGCUUACGGUUAUCAGAGUCGAUGUCAAUAGGUUAGAACGGGUUAAAUUCGUUAAGGAUGUUGACGUAAUGGCUUUAAACGA
rnacentral:rRNA from 1 species